ensembl:misc_RNA
UUCCUAGAGCUGGGGGUUUCUGUAGGCACUUUAUUUCUCCACUUUCAAACGCUUGGGCUUGGCCCAACUCUUAGGCUGCCCAAUCCUGUUUCUAUUACUAAUUUAAAUCUAUGGCUUGAGCCUCUACGUGAAAAAACAAAAUCUAU